UGCCGUGGUUACGGAGCGGCUGGAGAAGAAGCGGCGGCGGUAUGCCGGGUGGUGGGCCUUGCACAGCCAUAGUUCUGUACUAUUUUCGGAAAGCGACAUGAAAGGUGCCUCAUUUAGUGAGGGAGAAUAUAACUACAGCUGCGAAGAUCCCUGCUGUACCCUGUGAUCCUGUGAUCUCUGUCUUGGAGGCUGAUGGUAUGCUGUCUUUAAGGACACCCUUGCAAGGUGGCAGGCCCCAGUGGAGUACCUGCAUAAACAGACAUGAAGUUACACGCCGUGAAGGACACUGCCAGUGCCAUUUAAAGUGAUCAUGAGCUACUUAAAGGAUUGUUGCUCAUAUAUUUAUCUUGGUUGCUGCUGUUAUGGCUGCAAAUAGCAUUCACUAUUAAUUUUGAGCUGUGAAGCUGACAAUUUAAGGAUUUUAGGAAUGUGUAUUUUAGUAUGAAAUUUCUAAACUUGUCAGUGAUUUGGCUUCAUAUAGUAGGCAUCUAUGCUACAAUCUUCAAUCGCUAAAAGUUAUGAGAAUUUAGCUAACUAGAUUAAGAUAGCUUUAGUAUAUAUUACUGAAUAGAUAAUUUUAGUUUUGAGUUUACAGUGACGUACUAAGCAUUCAUUUCAGCUUAUUUACAUCGAGGACAUUUACUGUACAUCUAAGAAAAUUUACUUUAUCUGGAUGUAUUGUAAUUUGCUUUAUUUCCUAAAUUGCUAAAUAAAAGGAUCUUAAAUAA